GACGCAGCACACUAAGCUUAACACAAUGUGUGCACUCAAUUUUUUGCCUACACCUGAGCUGGCCAUCUUGCAAGCAAGCGACAUAUAUAUAAUUAUUAGCGCUAGUGGAAUCCUAAAAAUGCAGAAAUCGUUAAACAAAUGUCACUAUCCCUUUCACUCAUGCAUAAUCUGCAAUAGAAAUGCCUUAAUCUAUAGUGCUAAAUGUAUGAUCUUUUGCUAUGUCUAUACUCGUAUCUUACCUUUUCUGUUGAGCAGCAUAGAAGAACUCCUAGAUAAGCAACAUUACUAUAUAAAAUAUGUGCAGUACUCUCUCAUG